GCCUUUCUCCCAGUCUUACAAUAGCAGCCGGUCCAUUUCCUUCCCCCACUCCUCGUGUGCUGUCUUCCUUCCUUCUCUCUGGUUAUACAAGGAAGUUGUGUGAAAGCUUCAGAAAUGGGUUGUAGCCUGGAGAGAGUGGUGGCCCUUCUACUGAAGAUGAGAGAGAGAACGCUCACACAAGUCGUGGGGGAGCGGCAGGCAGAGGGAGAAGCAGGCUCCCCACUGAGCAAGGAACCUGAUCCCAAGACCUGGAGAUCAUGGCCUGAUCCAAAGGCAGACUUCUAACUGACGGAGCCUCCCAGGCGCCCCACAAAUGGCAUCUUUAGAUGGACGUAUAAGAGCAUGAAACAUACGCAGAAUCACACAAAUCACACCGCUUCUGUUUCAUAGUUUGUACACGCAUAUAUAUUUUGUUGUAGCGAGAAUAGUGGAAACAUGGCGUUAAAAUA